AUAACUGUUUGCCUGCUUGCCUGCCAGCUUGUCUGCUUAAAUAUGAAAGCCAGAGCCGUCCUCGUCGUCGUAGUUGUUAUGAUAGUUUUGUUGCAAUGCUGCAGUCACACUGAAGGGUUUGGGGUCAGCGGCGGACCCCCUGGUCGUGGUCUUGUGGGCGUAAUCGUCGAUCCUGAUCAAUUGGAAGAUGUCUGUGCUGAUUUCGCUCCCGGAAAUGGAAAUGGAAAUGGAAAUAAUCUGUAAACUCAUAUUCUUAUAAUUCGAACUGUACGUUCUAGAUUGACAAUAGAGAAGAAAAUUAAUAAAUUAUAGCAGAAACGUUCAACACA
rnacentral:lncRNA from 1 species